UAGUAUAAGUAAUCACGAUAGAUGCAGG
rnacentral:sRNA from 1 species